CGGGCAUUCACUGAUGAACAUGUUCAAUGAGAUUUUAAAGGAAAGGAGGAGCUCAGAGCAGCACACACUCCAAAGAAGCCCAUCAGUUGGUCAGGUUAUCAAGUUCCAUGGAAAAAAGGGGUGGCAGGCCCAGGAAUCGAUGCUGAGCUACUUUUUAAUGUAUGAACACAACCAAAGCCAGAUGUGGCGUGCAUGACAGGAGCAGUUAUAAAACAGCAUAUACGGCAUGGAAAGGCCACCCAUGUCUGCAGGAAGUGAUUUUACUGGAGUUUCUGUGGACUUUAUGUCAUGUUCAGAAGAACAUGGGAAUUCAAGCCGUGAGUCUCUUAUGUACCUCCUUCCUGGACCCAGGUGUCUAGAAAUAACUUUCUCUCAACUUCUGAGAACCAUCCACCUGCCUGUCCACCCUACCAUGGAUCAUCGUCCCUCCAUGGCAUCCACUGAAUGGAGUAAAGCACAAAGUCAAAAGAACGAGGAAAUACUUUUCCCCGCUGCUGCACCCUCCUGCCAACCUCAGCCAUCGUGGUAAAGACUUAUUCCUCCCUAACCUGGCUAAGAGCUCAUUUUCUAUCUGAAGGAGGCUUUUGGUGAAGCUUCACAGAGAAGUAGUUCCAGCCAAUUGCAAACCUGGACACGGACCAUCGGUCAGGGAAAAUCCUGGUCUGGGUUUUCAGGAUAUAAAUCCCCUCUGGCAGAGAGGAGCACAAAAACUCAGGGUUCCUGUUGCUUAAGAACUCUCACUUGAUUGCUCCUGAUGAUCCAUAGCUGUGUGGAAGCACCUGCCUGUCGCACCCUGUAGGAAAAGAUACCACUCAGGAGGCAGAGAAAAGUUUGACAAGUUUAUUUUUACCGAAUUGGAUUUAAGAGAUGGACCCGGGACUGGAAACGCACCAACUGCAUGGAGAAGG